AUGGGGAGGGGCUGCGCGGUUGUUCUCGCGGCGGCGGCGGCGGCGGCGCUGCUGGUGUCGCUGCCUAUGCUGCUGGUGUUGCCGCCGGACGCGGACACGUACGAGCAGGAGAGCCACCGGAUGUUCGUGGGGUGGAAGGCCAGGUACAAGAAGACCUAUAAACACGCCGGCGAAGAGGAGUGCCGGUACGCGUUGUUCAAGGAGAGCCGCUGCCGCGUCGCCUGGGCCAGGGCCGACGGGGUGACCACAUCUGGCCUCAACGGUCUCAGCGCCCUCGCCAAUGAGGAGAUCUACCGCGGGUACAGGGUCCGGAAGGGGGAGGAAUCGUACGAGCAGGAGACCCGACGGAUGUUCGUGGGGUGGAAGGCCAAGUACGGCAAGACCUACAGAGACGUCGGUGAGGAGGAAUGCCGGUACAGGUUGUUCAAGGGCAACCGCCGCGUCGUCGUCCGGCUCAACGCCGCCGCCGGGCAAAAUGUGUACGGCAUCAACCAAUUCGGUGACCUCACCAACGAGGAGGUCCGGGAACGCUGCUACCCGGAGAUGGUGGACCAAGAGCUGAGCGCCAGGUGCCAAGCCGCCGCCCCCGACCCGGACCCCGACCAUGGGAGGCGGAUUUGGUACCAGGCUUGCCGGUGCAUUGAUACGGAAGUGGAGUCUGGAGGCGCUGUUCCUGGAGAUGAAGCACACAUGUGGAUCUGA
rnacentral:rRNA from 1 species